GACGAACGCUGGCGGCGCGCUUAACACAUGCAAGUCGAACGGAAAGGCCUGCUUUCCCUUGUGGAUUGCGGGUACUCGAGUGGCGAACGGGUGAGUAACACGUGGGUGAUCUGCCCCCAACUUGGGUAUAAGCCUGGGAAACUGGGUCUAAUUCCCGAUAGGACUGCAGGGUGGUGCCUGUGGUGGAAAACGAUUUUCUAGUGGUUGGGGAUGAGCUCGCGGCCUAUCAGCUUGUUGGUGGGGUAAUGGCCUACCAAGGCGGCGACGGGUAGCCGGCCUGAGAGGGUGGACGGCCACAUUGGGACUGAGAUACGGCCCAGACUCCUACGGGAGGCAGCAGUGGGGAAUAUUGCACAAUGGGCGGAAGCCUGAUGCAGCGACGCCGCGUGGGGGAUGACGGCCUUCGGGUUGUAAACUCCUUUCGACCGCGAGGAAGCCACCUGGUUGGAAGGGUGGUGACGGUAGUGGUAGAAGAAGCACCGGCUAACUACGUG
rnacentral:rRNA from 1 species